AUAUGUUUGAAUGUAUCUCGUUGGGAGAGGGCUGUGAUAGUAGAUAAGCAUUGCCCUAGCGGUGCUUAUCAUGCGUUGGUCAUUCUCUCGUGAGCCUUGAUGCCGAGAGGACCAGUACGCUGAAAGAGGGUUGGCUAUCACAGUCACUCUCAGUAUUAAUAAAAAAAAUUAACGCCUACAAAUUCAGAAGUGGGAUACAACCAAAUUGUAUCCAUAGAAGUGGGUUUUAAAAUAAAAGAAAAGUGUCUUCAACCCCCGGAAAAGUUUCGUGACUGUGGGGAGGUGUCUGAGUGCUCCAUAAAUGUGGUGUUGUGAACAAUGGGGAUCCUCUGAACUCUGAAUGGGCCACAGAGUCUCCUAAAUGUGUCCCCAGGCGAUAAGAUGGGAGAAAAGUGAAAAAAAUCGCCAAUUGCAUAGGAAAACCCGCACGUGUUGAGUUACGACAUGUCUCGACAUGUCGGUAGAGGAAAAAAAUGAGAACGGGGGCGUCAAAUGAGGCACGAGAAGAUGCUGAUCAGCGCCUGGUCGCGGACUAGGGGUACAAAAUGCAUCAAAGGAUUAUCUGGGCUGUGAAGGAGUCCCUCAUAAUGUGGCUGCUCUUUUAAUUUUAAGGAUGGUGCGCACAUCAUGUGCCUAAAAGGGCAUUUGGCGGGCAUGAAUGCCUUAGGAGAUGCGACAGGAUGUUAGAGAGCCAUCAUGUGAGGUACAUUUUUCUUCAAUAAAUGGCCCAACUGGAUCCUCUGGGGAUGCGACAAUGUGGAUAGUGAAGAUCAAGUGGACAGCUGGUGUGAAUUAAGUGAUUUAGUGCAGCAAAUUUUCUCCAAACAACCCCACUGAAAGAUGAGGGAUUCCACCGUUCCGGAUAUGCCGUGGAGUAGAAUCGUAUUGUGUCGGGAGUAUAAUUUGCAUCGUGGAAGGCUUCUUGGAGAAAAUUCCCAUAACAAACAGCAGCUCUGAGUUCCGGAAAAGGAACCAUUAGAAUGGGACACAGCUAAAGGUGUUGGCUUUAUCGAUACCCUGCGAGACGUGUGAUCGCUUGAUGGAGCUCCAAAUGUCUAUGGAGUGGUCUUCACGACUGAUCCGGGCUUCACGAAGCUACUCAAGCUUACUCAACAGGAGAGUGUGGAUGACUGCGAUGACACAGUGCCGCGCUGUGCGAAGGAGAUUGAGUCCAACUUGAAAGUUCCCAAGGCAUGUGUGCGAUGACACAGUGCCGCGCUGUGCGAAGGAGAUUGAGUCCAACUUGAAAAUUCCCAAGGCAUGUGUGUUGUGCACGGGAAGUUCAAGAGAAGGGUGGCGUUCGUCAGGAUUGAGCAAUGUAGGAUGCCAGCAGUGGAGAAGAGGAAGAGAUCAGCGCUGCUCAAUCGCAGGGAGAUCAACCAUACCAGCAUCCGGAGUAUAUAAAUGUUCCAUUGAGUGCCGGAAAACGUCGGUGGGUGAACGAGAAGGCAUCACGGCGGGAGCUGCGGAGUUAGAGAGACGAUCAGCGAAGAAAGUACUCGUCCUUCCCGAAGCAGCAGUAUGGUCGUGGUGCGUCAUCUGGUGAUGCAUGUCACUGACAGGCAGACGGAUCAACAGGAAGAUGGUGGUUGGGACCACAAGGAAAAUUUGGUGAAGUAUACGGCUCUAACAAGCCAAUUUUAUUAACUAAAUGAUCUAGUGUGCCAAUUUUGGUGUGUGAUUGAGGGCCCCAAUUGAAUGUGUGUGUGUAUAACAUUUGAUUGAUCUUGUAGGAAGGAUUUUGCAGAUUGUCUGCGGGAAAAUCCAUGUCAAAAAAAUACAAGAUUAGUAAAAUUAGGUGGCAAGUUUUAUUUGCAGGUGACGGGCGUUCCAGAUUCUUCAGGUGGCUAAUGAGCAGCCUUGUUUUGAGUCUAACGAGGCGGAGCAGCUGAAAAUUGCUGCAAGACGAUCAACAGGGUUCCCUACAGAGCCACCAGAAUAAGGAACGACGACGGAAGCAAAAUUAAGUUAAGUUCAUCGAAAUAAAGGUAUGUGACUUAAUUAUUUAAGGGGAAAAUCUAGUGUAAAGCCAAGAAUAAUCAUUUUGGCGAAUUAGGUUUUGUAAGAAUUCCCCAAGCUUUUAUUAUAAUGUUGAGUAUAUCUCAAUCAUAUUUAUGAUUGGUGGUGGGCUAACUGGUCAGAACAUUGGUCACAGAUCCAAUGUGGACUACUAGUGUGGACCCUAGUAGAUGAUAAGACUGACCAUGAAAUAUUAGUUAAGUCGAUUAAUAAUCACUAACCCCAUAAAGCAUCUUGAGUACAAAACUUAAGGUGGGGGAAGUUUAGGGUGAUUAUGAAUGCACUCUUAUGAGGUAUCGGUGGUCACGAAAGUGCGGGAUACACUUUAUUAGUCCACUUCAUUAGACGAUAUGAUGUACUCGCAAAUGAGUAGAUUAGAGAUGUAUUAUUUAAGUCACGGUGUUAGGUAUAGCGAAUCGUAACUCCCAAUCUGAUAAGAGAAUAGAGCGGAGUUCAUGCAAGCCACCCAAGAGAUGUCAGAUAUCCAAUAGGAAUUCACGAAGAGCACGGGAGAUAGUCUCAAACGUUAACUGAGACAGAAAAGUAAAUGAGCUUUUAAUAGGCACAGAUGAAGAGUACGGGAUGACUCACACUCAUCCGAGGAAGACGUUGCCAUGACGGUCAACUUCGUGUCUCACAAGUGUCCGAAUAAAAUCAAAUCAUCAGAUGCCACUCACAGAGCAGGAAAACUGAAUCCAACUACACAAUAGCAGCUAUUCCAGAGGUGAGCAAUGCUGAAUGAAAAGGUCGCGGACAAUGUGUGUUAAAUGGUUGGAAAAAAAAAGCCUCGACCAUAUAGGAUCCCAGAUAUGUGUCGAUGAGGCUAAGACGUUCGAUGCAGACGCUGAGGUAAAAGAGAAUCGGCAGUGAUAAAAAAAAAAGAAAA